rnacentral:rRNA from 1 species
GACGAACGCUGGCGGCGUGCUUAACACAUGCAAGUCGAACGGAAAGGCCCUGCUUGCAGGGUACUCGAGUGGCGAACGGGUGGGUAAGUCGUGGGUGAUCUGCCCUGCUCUUCGGGAUAAGCCAGGGAAACUGGGUCUAAUUCCGGCUAGGAGCCAUUUUUAGCGUGAUGGUUGGAAAGUUUUUUCGGUGUAGGCUGAGUUCUCGGGCUAUCAGCUUGUUGGUGUGGUAAUGGACUACCAAGGCGGCGGCGGGUAGCCGGCCUGAGGGGGUGGACUGCCACCCUGGGACCUAGGGGAGGCAGAGGUACGUACGGGAGGGCGAAGGGGGGAAGCUUGCAGAAGGAGCGCAAGCCGGAUGCAGCGGGGCUGCGGGGGGGAUGACGCCCUUCGUGUUGUAAACUCCUUGCGCAAGGGACGAAGCUUUUUGUGACGGUACCUAGAUAGGAAGCCCCGGCUAACUACGUG